rnacentral:rRNA from 1 species
UCGAGCGGUAGCACAGAGAGCUUGCUCUCGGGUGACGAGCGGCGGACGGGUGAGUAAUGUCUGGGAAACUGCCUGAUGGAGGGGGAUAACUACUGGAAACGGUAGCUAAUACCGCAUAACGUCGCAAGACCAAAGUGGGGGACCUUCGGGCCUCAUGCCAUCAGAUGUGCCCAGAUGGGAUUAGCUAGUAGGUGGGGUAACGGCUCACCUAGGCGACGAUCCCUAGCUGGUCUGAGAGGAUGACCAGCCACACUGGAACUGAGACACGGUCCAGACUCCUACGGGAGGCAGCAGUGGGGAAUAUUGCACAAUGGGCGCAAGCCUGAUGCAGCCAUGCCGCGUGUGUGAAGAAGGCCUUCGGGUUGUAAAGCACUUUCAGCGGGGAGGAAGGCGAUAAGGUUAAUAACCUUGUCGAUUGACGUUACCCGCAGAAGAAGCACCGGCUAACUCCGUGCCAGCAGCCGCGGUAAUACGGAGGGUGCAAGCGUUAAUCGGAAUUACUGGGCGUAAAGCGCGCGUAGGUGGUUCAGCAAGUUGGAUGUGAAAUCCCCGGGCUCAACCUGGGAACUGCAUCCAAAACUACUGAGCUAGAGUACGGUAGAGGGUGGUGGAAUUUCCUGUGUAGCGGUGAAAUGCGUAGAUAUAGGAAGGAACACCAGUGGCGAAGGCGACCACCUGGACUGAUACUGACACUGAGGUG